UUAAAAGCGUUAGAUUAUUAUGUUUUAAGUCAGUUUUUCAGCAGAAUCGAAGUGAGAAAGAAGUUAUUUUGUUAUCGUUUUUCUGUCUCUAAAUCCGCUUACCUGGAGAAUCUGCUAACCCGUAAAGUGAGACUGUUGUAACGACCCGCCACAGAAAUCGAAUAAUUAUUAAAGCUUGGCUUAAUAUUAUACGGUUUGUGGUGGUCAUUUGAUCUAACCAGUUCCGAGUAAGGAAACAUU